CCUACGGGUGGCAGCAGUGGGGAAUAUUGCACAAUGGGGGAAACCCUGAUGCAGCGACGCCGCGUGAGUGAAGAAGUAAUUCGGUAUGUAAAGCUCUAUCAGCAGGGAAGAAAAUGACGGUACCUGAGUAAGAAGCCCCGGCUAACUACGUGCCAGCAGCCGCGGUAAUACGUAGGGGGCAAGCGUUAUCCGGAUUUACUGGGUGUAAAGGGAGCGUAGACGGGAGUGCAAGUCUGGAGUGAAAGGCGGGGGCUCAACCCCGGGACUGCUCUUGAAACUGUACGGCUGGAGUGCAGGAGAGGUAAGUGGAAUUCCUAGUGUAGCGGUGAAAUGCGUAGAUAUUAGGAGGAACACCAGUGGCGAAGGCGGCUUACUGGACUGUAACUGACGUUGAGGCUCGAAAGCGUGGGGAGCAAACAGGAUUAGAUACCCCAGUAGUC
rnacentral:rRNA from 1 species